UUGUUUACAUUGUUUACAUCCAAUAUUUCUACGGAGCUGAAGUGAGACGACUAUGGAUUUUAGUUUCUGGAUUAUAGAAGUGUUUAUUUAGUUCAUUAUCAUGAUAACUUAGUGAGUUGUAAACAGAAAAUGUGUCAAAUGCAAGCCAAAUGAAUCAACUUAAAUGAGGAUGGACACUAAAAUCUACCAUGUCUACACAAAAAUUAAAAUAUUCAUACCAGACAGAUGACAGAGACAAUGCUUGAAAUAUUUAAAUUUCGCAAAAGAAGAGGGUGAAAGUGCAAUUGAAAAAAAACCCAGACCAACAAAUACUAUAGUUAACAAGGGAUGAUUUUCUUUAGCAGAAUUUUUUUCAUCCGUGAAGAUAAACAGCUAUGUUAACCACUUUGUUCCACAGAAAAGAAGAGCUGGCUUUCAACUAAAACUGAAAAUCUUAUCAAAUAGAAUUCAAAAUUAUAUAUAAUUAUAUAUAGGGAUAUUUGGGUUAAAUACAAUGGUACAAACAAGUAUUUUCUGAACUAUUUCAAAGCAAAUGUGUGCCUGACUUAUACUCUGUCUAUUUUUGAAAAUAAGAUGUGUUCAUAUGUCAAUGCUGAUGCAUAAUGAUUUAUUACCACUUGAUCAUUUGAGUUGUUGAAUUAUUUUCAGUGAAAAUUAUUACAAUUAAUGAUGGUAAAAAUUAAAGUUGAUAUUCAU
rnacentral:sRNA from 1 species